ACUGCAUUGUCUCAAACUCUACCAAAGUGUGCUGCCAAAUUUUGGCAAGAUGUAAAACUUUUUUUUUUUAAUGUCUCUGUUGCUAGGCAAUUCCAGAAAUUGAGAUUGCUGAACUGAGCACCACGUCAUGUGGCAUACAGCCAGAGUGCAGCCUGCUGCUGGUCAGAGGUCAGGGGUCAAAGGUGGACGCUGACCUCAAGCUGGUGCCAAAGACAUGAGGACACGUGAGAACUUGACCUGCUGAGAAUCCAUCAGGGAAGAAGAGCCACACCCAAACAGUGCUGAUUCAGACCGGAGGUGCUGAUCUUUUUGCACGGACUCUCCUGCCGCCCCUCCCGCGAUCAACAACGUGUGUCGGAGAGCUGUGGUAACACAAGGGGGUCGUGUCAACCUUGUCUCAUGCACCAGCUGAACUUGGUGACACCAGCAACUCGGAUCCCAACAGAUGGGGUGUUACGACGGCACCGCCAGGGAGGCUGCCCGGGGCUGGACCGCGCUUCUCUCAAGGUGCUUUGUGUGCACGGUGGGGCAGCUUGACCUGAGCGAAGGCAGCAAACACGCCUCGAGCCGGAACCCCAGCCGGAGUCAAUAACACAGUGGUUCUCAAACUUCAGCCUGUGUCUGAGUCACCUGCGAGACGUGUUAAAACAUAGAGUCUUAUAUCCGUCUCCCUGGAGACUCUGAUUCAGCCGGUCUGGAGCAGGGAUGGUGAUUUUGCAUGUCUAGCAAGUUCCUAAGUGCUGCUGGUUGGGAGACCACACUUUGAAAACGACAAGCCUACUCCAGAACCUUGACUUAGAAAGCUCUUCCUCUCCAGGUCUUCUGUGCCCUCAGGGACUUCAGAGCUGGGGAGAAAAGUGAAUGGAAGCCAGAAGAUGGAAACAACCCAAAUAUCCAUCAACAGGCAAAUGGACAGGCAGAAGGCGGUAUAUCCAUACAGUGGAAUACUAUUCCACCAGGAAAAGGAACUCGAUACUGACACACGCUACAACAUGGAUGAACUGGGAAGGCAUUAUGCGGAAUGGAAGCAGCCAGCUGGGGCCUGCUGGGGCCACAUAGUGCACAAUUCCAUGGAUAGGAGAUGCCCAGAAGAAGCAAAUUCGUAGAGACAGAAAGCAAAUUGGUGGUUGCCAGGAGGUAGGAUGGAAUGGGGAGCCACUGCCUAUUGGAUUUCCAUUUGGGAUGAUGCAAACAUUCUGGAACUAGACAAAGGUGAUGGGUGGACAACACUGUGAAUGUACCUAAUGCAACUGAACUGAACUCUUUAAAAUGAUUCACAUAGUUAGUUUUAUGUCAUGUGUCUUUU